AUGGGGAACUUGUUGGCUGCUGGCUCGCCACCCGCCGGCCCGAAGCCUGUGCCAGCCCUCAUGGAGCUUUACGCUGCCACCACUGGGGGCGGACUGGGCACUGGAACCAGCACCGGCCGAGGUUCAGAACGGACAUCUGGGACUGCAGCCUCCAGCACCGCACGGGCCACUGAUGACCGGGCCUGCGGCUGCUUGCCCAACCUGGGCACAUUUGAGGAGUGCCACUGCAAGUGCAAAGAGCUGUUUCCUAUUCAAAUGAAGGGCGUCAAACUCACUGUCAACAAAAGGUUGAGUAACCAUUUCCAGGUGGACCACAUAGUAGCCCUCAGCACAACCAGGGAGUCCACCUACCACUUCGGGGUCACAUAUGUGAGGACAAAGCAGCUGUGUCCCACAGAGGACUUCCCUGUGCUGGUGGGCGACAUGGACAACAGUGGCAGCCUCAGUGCUCAGCUCAUUCACCAGCUAGGCCCCAGCCUCAGGUCCAAGAUGGCCAUCCAGAAGCAGCAGUCAAAGUUUGUGAACUGGCAGGUGGAUGGGGAGUACCGGGGUUUAGACUUCACUGCAGAUGUCACCCUGGGGAUCCCUGAUGUCUUGGUGGGUUUAGGAAUCCUUGUGGCCCAUUACCUCCCGAGCAUCAGUCUGUCUGGCCCUGAGCGGAGAACUGGUCUACCACUGGUGGCCUGGAGAGGAGGGCACUGAUAUGUCUCUAGCUGGGAAAUACACACUAAACAACUGGUUGGCAACAGUGACACUACGCCAGGUGGGCAUGCAUGCAACAUACUACUAAAAAGCCAGUGAUCACUUGCAGAUGGGCAUAGAGUUUGAGGCCAGCACAAAGAUGCAGGAUACCAGUGUCUCCUUCGGGUACCAGCUGGACCUGCACAAGGCCAACUUCCUCUUCAAAGGCUCCACGGACAGCAACUGGAUAAUGAGAGCUAUGCUGGAGAAGAAGCUGCCACCACUGCCCCUGACGCUGUUGCUCGGGGCCUUCCUGAACCACAGCAAGAACGAGUUCCAUUGUGGCUUUGGCCUCACCACUGGCUGA